CAGAGUGAGAUUUAACAGAGUGACAUUUGGCAUCGGGUUAAAAGUCGGCGUCACCUUCGCCCUCAAGCCCCUCAUACCUCGGCGUCCCUACCCCGGUGAAGGUCAUGUCAGGAUGCAGGUUAUCUCCAAUGUGACCGAUGUUUAGUUCAGCGGCAUAAUUCAUAGCCUAAUCAAGCCAUCUCCACGACGGGACAGCCUCGCCCAGACACACAUGUACACGCGGAGUCUGUAUGCCGAUCAUGGUACUCAAAAUAUCAUGUACAGGUGCGCAGGGCUCUCUCCGCUGGUAAUGUGUGUGCUGGGCGUUGCAGUCUCCACCACCACCACUACCGCUAGCAUCAUUACCACCAUCACCACCGAUGUCAAUGCAGUGUGUUCAAGUACAGCCUGCAAGAGGACCUCAAGGCCUGGCCUGUGAUGCCCACUCCUCAACUGUUAUGUCAUGCUCUGAGGCAGUGAGUGUUACAUUUCAUUUCAGGGUGGCUAGAUUUACGGCCAGUUCCACAGGCAAUCAGAGUUUCAUAAGUGCCAGAAGCAAAAUAUGUUCUCCAUAAAGCUCAUGUAUUAUAUUCGCAUAAGAUACUAAAGGGAGAUUUCUGUAUAGUCUCCGAUUUCCUAACUUCUAUAUCAAUAACUAUACUAAGAUUCUUUUAGUCUUUGGUAUUUUGUCAAGGAACUUACAAACAAAGUACGCUGAACUGUGGAACUGACCCUAAGUAAGAUUAUGUUCAGUUUGAAUACUUAGCUGAUUUAUUAAAGGUCUACCAUUUAUUUUUGCAUAAAGUUGAUUCUUUUUAAAAAUAUCAUAGUACAUAAUAUAUGUAAAUUUUUAAGUUAGUAAAUAAUAACUUUUUAAUGAUUUUGUCAUUGUUUACUUAUCAGUUAUUUUGCGAAUAAUGCAGCACAGCAAAGUAAUGAAAACAAUAAUCAUUGAUAAAAAUAAAGAUGAUCAUGGCAAUAGAGUACACAAAUACUAUAAUAGGCAUGUAAAUCAAUAUUAAUCUUUGGAAUAAUAUCAGCGAGCAUAAUGGGUGCAAUAUAAAGAGCUACAGCGGCCUCACGUCCAACGCGUUUCAUGUCGUGUUUAAAAUGGUCCAACGCGCAUCAACCAAAUCCGCAGAGAUUCCUGUAACCGUGGAAAAAUUGUCCAUUGUGCACUGCAUAUGUCCCUCUCAGCCAAUCAGCCGGAUGUACGUCGCGUGACACCAGCCAGUAAUAUGGGCGGAGGCAUCACGCGAUGAGUAGAACUGCAUAUUUUGUUUAGAUUUGAGUAGAUUGAGUAGACCAGUCUGCCUGCCCCCAUUUUUUAAGGUAUUUUUCAUAAAUUCACCGACAAAAUACAUUUUUCCCAUAAGUUCUUUCAUGCAAAUUUUGCCCAACACGAAGCAAUCUCGGACAAAAUUCUUGUGUUGGAUACGAGGCCGCUGUAUGUGAAUUGUCAGUAUAAUAUAAUUUCAUGUAGCCCACACCCGCUCCCAGCUCUGGUCGCCCUGUGCAUGAUCGUUGUUAUUCUUGAUAUUUUAUUAUGAUUAUGUACCUGCGACUGCCCUGCCUACACCCUGCCGAGGACACCGUGGAGAUGGUGAGUGUUCCACGGAUAUUUCUGCCAUUCUUACACUAAGUUAUGAUGUCUCUUUAUUAUUUACUGUUGAUGGCAAAGUCUGAUAUAGUUUCUUGAAUGGGGGUAAGGGGUGGGGGGUCGAACCAGGGACUGAGGGGGAGACGGUUGAAGAGACCAUGAAUACAACACACAGCGAUCACGGUCUCGGAAAUUACUUUUAUCUGAAAAUGUUUUUAGUUAAGGAAAAAUGUGGAAAUAGUUCGGACAAUUCCCUUAAUGCUUUCCUUGGUGCUUCAUGACCCUAAUGAAACAUGUCUUUAAUUAAUGAAGUGAUGUUUGCUGAAGGGGUACGAGAGAAGAAAAGAUAAUUAAUUAACCGGUACAGUGUCGACAUCAAAUGAAGGGAAGGGUCACGUGAGAUUAAUUUUCGUCGUAUUUUCUUUUAUCUCCCUCAAAAAAGCUCAAGAAAAAUACUAGUUUAUUGCUGUCUCGUCUUCUUUUCGCUUAACGUCCUUCUUUUCCCUUGUGGGGUUGGGCGGGCUAUGAGUCCAUCCCACUUUUUUUUUUAAAGUUUAUUUGUGUAUAUUUUCAUUUCAUGGUGUGCCUUUCUUGUGGUUCUUAUCCGCAUAUUUUACCCUGUCUCAGAGCUCACGAUGUUAUACUAAGAAUUCGGAAGUUUAUCUGUAUAAUUCUGUAUGCGUUUAUUAUGUACCUCAUAUACACUUUCUUUGUUUAUAGCGAAGGUGAUAAAUGUGAAUCUAUUUACAUAACAAACACAUGUAUGCUCAUAAGAAGAAGUAAAGACAUGAUUGAAUGCCCAUUCUCUCUCUCUCUCUCUCUCUCUCUCUCUCUCUCUCUCUCUCUCUCUCUCUCUCUCUCUCUCUCUCUCUCUCUCUCUCUCUCUCUCUCUCUCUCUCUCUCUCUCUCUCUCUCUCUCUCUCUCUCAGAACUGCUCCGCCCCCCUUUUACACACACACACACACACACACACACACACACACACACACACACGCUGGUUUCUUUACUCCAUUAAACACAAUUAGGACCAUGAUUUACACGUUUUCUCUCCAUUCUUCCUUCUGCUCCUCCAUUUCAGCCGUCCUCCUUCUCUCUCUCUCUCUCUCUCUCUCUCUCUCUCU